GAUGAACGCUGGCGGCGUGCCUAAUACAUGCAAGUCGAGCGAACGGACGAGAAGCUUGCUUCUCUGAUGUUAGCGGCGGACGGGUGAGUAACACGUGGAUAACCUACCUAUAAGACUGGGAUAACUUCGGGAAACCGGAGCUAAUACCGGAUAAUAUUUUGAACCGCAUGGUUCAAAAGUGAAAGACGGUCUUGCUGUCACUUAUAGAUGGAUCCGCGCUGCAUUAGCUAGUUGGUAAGGUAACGGCUUACCAAGGCAACGAUGCAUAGCCGACCUGAGAGGGUGAUCGGCAACACUGGAACUGAGACACGGUCCAGACUCCUACGGGAGGCAGCAGUAGGGAAUCUUCCGCAAUGGGCGAAAGCCUGACGGAGCAACGCCGCGUGAGUGAUGAAGGUCUUCGGAUCGUAAAACUCUGUUAUUAGGGAAGAACAUAUGUGUAAGUAACUGUGCACAUCUUGACGGUACCUAAUCAGAAAGCCACGGCUAACUACGUG
rnacentral:rRNA from 1 species